GACGAACGCUGGCGGCGUGCCUAAUACAUGCAAGUCGAACGGAAAGGUCCGGCUCUUGCUGGGUUCUCGAGUGGCGAACAGGUGAGUAAAACAUGAGUAUAACGCACCUGUCAGUGUGAUAACAUCUGGAGACAGGGGCGCAUAUCGGGUAUGAGCUACUGCUGCAUGUUGGGGGUUGGUAAGAUUCGGCGGUUCUGGAUGGUCUCGCUGCUUAUCAGCUUCUUGGUGGGGUUGUGGCUUACCAAGGCUUUGACGGGUAGCAGGCCUGAGAGGGUGACCGGCCACAUUGGGACUGAGGUACGGCACAGACUCCUACGGGAGGCAGCAGUGGGGAAUAUUGAAGAAUGGGCGGAAGGCUGAUGCAGCAACGCCGCGGGCGGGAUAACGGCCUUAGGGUUGUAAACCAAUUUCGCCUGUGACGAAGCGUGAGUGAAGGUAAUGGGUAAAGAAGGCCCCGCUAAAUACGUG
rnacentral:rRNA from 1 species